UACAGAGGGUGCGAGCGUUGUUCGGAAUUAUUGGGCGUAAAGCGCUUGUAGGCGGCCUGUCAAGUCGCGUGUGAAAUCCCCUGGCUUAACCAGGGAAGUGCGCGCGAAACUGAAGGGCUUGAGUGCCGGAGAGGGUCGCGGAAUUCCCGGUGUAGAGGUGAAAUUCGUAGAUAUCGGGAGGAACACCAGUGGCGAAGGCGGCGACCGGGACGGACACUGACGCUGAGACGCGAAAGCGUGGGGAGCAAACAGG
rnacentral:rRNA from 1 species